rnacentral:tRNA from 1 species
GCACCUGUGGCGGAAUUGGCAGACGCGCCAGACUUAGGAUCUGGUCCCUCGCGGGGUGCAGGUUCGAUUCCUGUCAGGUGCACCA